UACGUAGGGUGCAAGCGUUGUCCGGAAUUAUUGGGCGUAAAGAGCUCGUAGGCGGUCUGUCGCGUCUGCUGUGAAAACUCGGGGCUUAACCCCGGGCCUGCAGUGGGUACGGGCAGACUAGAGUGCGGUAGGGGAGACUGGAAUUCCUGGUGUAGCGGUGAAAUGCGCAGAUAUCAGGAGGAACACCGGUGGCGAAGGCGGGUCUCUGGGCCGUAGCUGACGCUGAGGCGCGACAGCGUGGGGAGCAAACAGG
rnacentral:rRNA from 1 species